rnacentral:rRNA from 1 species
GACAGAGGGUGCAAACGUUGCUCGGAAUUACUGGGCGUAAAGCGCGUGUAGGCGGACUGGUGUGUCGGAUGUGAAAUCCCCAGGCUCAACCUGGGAACUGCAUUCGAAACUGCCAGCCUUGAGUGGUGGAGAGGGAAAUGGAAUUCCUGGUGUAGAGGUGAAAUUCGUAGAUAUCAGGAGGAACACCAGUGGCGAAGGCGGCUUCCUGGACACCAACUGACGCUGAGACGCGAAAGCGUGGGGAGCAAACAGG